rnacentral:rRNA from 1 species
UACGUAGGGUGCAAGCGUUAAUCGGAAUUACUGGGCGUAAAGCGUACGCAGGCGGCUAUGUAAGACAGGUGUGAACUCCCCGGGCCUAACCUGGGAACUGCAUUUGUGACUGCAUAGCUAGAGUCCGUCAGAGGGGGGUGGAAUUCCACGUGUAGCAGUGAAAUGCGUAGAUAUCAGGAGGAACACCGAUGGCGAAGGCAGGUCUCUGGGCUGACACUGACGCUCAUGCACGAAAGCGUGGGGAGCAAACAAG